rnacentral:tRNA from 1 species
GGAGGCCCACGGGUGCCCGGUGGCGCCCGCGGUCCUCGACGCCGACAUGGCCGAGCAUCUCGGCCGGGCGGGUGCGAUUCCCGUCCUCCU